UUUUUGGGGGAGUUGUAUCAAAAAGGACUUGCAAAGCCCCCAUUUAAACAUUGGUCGUUAUCGGUGUGAAGUACAUGUGACGAAGUGAUCAGUUGACGACCGGCAUGGAAGAAGGAAACAGCGCGGAAGAAAGGAAUAAUGCGGAAGCCAGCAAAAGGAUACGAAAACGGAAGCCUAUUGUUGUUUCGACGGAUAUGGAAGAAGGAAACAGCGUGGAAGAAACGAACAAUGUGGAAACCAGGUAAAAGCAAAAAUGGCUCUCGGAGAAUUGUCUGUUUACUUUGGGAGAGUUUAUAGAGUGAUGGUAGGCAGUGUUCGAAAUAUAACUUACUCUACAGUAACAAAUUAUUACUAUUAUCAAUAAAUAGGAUGUUUGGCACUCACCUCACUCGAAUAUCGAACACAUUCCAGCACCGUUCCUUCUCCUUGUUCGUGGGUGUCAGCCACAAAGAUAAACUUCUAAGACCUUCACCACUUCCGGCUUCCCUCCUUUCGCGUCGUGAUUUAACUGCAAUAUUGUUUAAAGCGGUGUUAAUCCAAUCUGCCUCACUACCUCAUUAAAUCCAGAACUAUAGACCCAAUUACUGAUCUAGGUUUAUUGCCACGUGUGUCUGAACUGAGAAUUUAUCUGUGUGUAAAAAUUUAA
rnacentral:misc_RNA from 1 species